rnacentral:rRNA from 1 species
GAGAGGCCCUCUGGGUCCACCUCCCACCCAUGUUUAUUGUACCUUGUUGCUUCGGCGGGCCCGCCUCACGGCCGCCGGGGGGCUUCUGCCCUCUGGCCCGCGCCCGCCGAAGACACCAUUGAACACUGUCUGAAGAUUGCAGUCUGAGCAAUUAGCUAAAUAAGUUAAAACUUUCAACAACGGAUCUCUUGGUUCCGGCAUCGAUGAAGAACGCAGCGAAAUGCGAUACGUAAUGUGAAUUGCAGAAUUCAGUGAAUCAUCGAGUCUUUGAACGCACAUUGCGCCCCUUGGUAUUCCGGGGGGCAUGCCUGUCCGAGCGUCAUUGCUGCCCUCAAGCACGGCUUGUGUGUUGGACCCCGUCCUCCUUCCCGGGGGACGGGCCCGAAAGGCAGCGGCGGCACCGCGUCCGGUCCUCGAGCGUAUGGGGCUUUGUCACCCGCUCUUGUAGGCCCGGCCGGCGCUUGCCGACAACCAUCAAUCUUUUUUCAGGUUGACCUCGGAUCAGGUAGGGAUACCCGCUGAACUUAAGCAUAUCAAUAAAGGCAAGAGG